rnacentral:rRNA from 1 species
AGCAGUCGCCACGGUAAUACAGAGGGUGCGAGCGUUAAUCGGAUUUACUGGGCGUAAAGCGUGCGUAGGCGGCUAAUUGAGUCGGAUGUGAAAUCCCCGAGCUUAACUUAGGAAUUGCAUUCGAUACUGGGAAGCUAGAGUAUGGGAGAGGAUGGUAGAAUUCCAGGUGUAGCGGUGAAAUGCGUAGAGAUCUGGAGGAAUACCGAUGGCGAAGGCAGCCAUCUGGCCUAAUACUGACGCUGAGGUACGAAAGCAUGGGGAGCAAACAGGAUUAGAUACCCCUGUAGUCCCUGUCUCUUAUAC